UACGGGGGGGGGCAAGCGUUGUUCGGAAUUACUGGGCGUAAAGGGCCAGUAGGCGGCCAACUAAGUCCGACGUGAAAUCCCCAGGCUCAACCUGGGAACUGCGUCGGAUACUGGAUGGCUUGAAUUCGGGAGAGGGAUGCAGAAUUCCAGGUGUAGCGGUGAAAUGCGUAGAUAUCUGGAGGAAUACCGGUGGCGAAGGCGGCAUCCUGGACCGAAAUUGACGCUGAGGAGCGAAAGCCAGGGGAGCAAACGGG
rnacentral:rRNA from 1 species